rnacentral:tRNA from 1 species
GGUUCCAUAGUGUAGUGGUAACACGCUCGCUUCACAUGUGAGAGGUCCAAGGUUCGAGCCCCAGUAGAAUCA